GACAGAGGGUGCAAACGUUGUUCGGAAUUACUGGGCGUAAAGCGCGUGUAGGCGGCCAUGCAAGUCGGACGUGAAAGCCCUCGGCUCAACCGGGGAAGUGCACUCGAAACUGCAAGGCUAGAGUCUCGGAGAGGAUCGUGGAAUUCUCGGUGUAGAGGUGAAAUUCGUAGAUAUCGAGAGGAACACCGGUGGCGAAGGCGGCGAUCUGGACGAUGACUGACGCUGAGACGCGAAAGCGUGGGGAGCAAACAGG
rnacentral:rRNA from 1 species